rnacentral:rRNA from 1 species
GACAGAGGGGGCAAGCGUUGCUCGGAAUUACUGGGCGUAAAGGGCGCGUAGGCGGACAGUUUAGUCAGAGGUGAAAGCCCAGGGCUCAACCUUGGAAUUGCCUUUGAUACUGGCUGUCUUGAGUUCGGGAGAGGUGAGUGGAAUGCCGAGUGUAGAGGUGAAAUUCGUAGAUAUUCGGCGGAACACCAGUGGCGAAGGCGACUUACUGGACACAUAUUGACGCUGAGGUGCGAAAGCGUGGGGAGCAAACAGG